rnacentral:lncRNA from 1 species
UCUUUCUCCUCAAACCCUCUGUGAACAGGCAAGUGGCUGCGGGAGCAGUUGAGGAACUCUGGCCAGGGUUACUCUCCGGUGUGUCUCGGUGUGUCUCAAAGGCCCUCAGCCUGGUGUGCCCCCGUAGCUGCCACCCAAGCAGGCUCUUUGAGUUGGAUUUCUGUUAAAAGAAAGCUGACUAAUAUAGAAUUGCUUCAGAACAAAUACAAAACAUCAAGGCUUCCCGCUGAUCACUUGGGAAACCGUUGGCUCACCUGGUAA